rnacentral:rRNA from 2 species
CGCAAGUUGCGCCCGAAGCCAUUAGGUCGAGGGCACGCCUGCCUGGGCGUCACGCAUCGCGUCGCCCCCUCCCCACCCCCUCCUCUGCGAGAGAGGGUGGAUCCGAGGGGACGGAGACUGGCCUCCCGUGCUCUUCCUGUGCGGCCGGCCUAAAUUUGAU